UCUGGUAGCCCCAAGGAACCCAGAAAGGGAUGGCAAGGCCCAGGCUGGGCAAGACUGGCAGGCCUUCCUUCUGUGUCUUGCAGGUGAUCGGGAACCCAUCCCCUGGGUGGUGCUGGAUCUGCCGCAGGACAGCCUAGAAGAGGAGGUACCCGGAGACAGCCUGUGGCCCACCACCAUCACCCUCCUCACCCUCUUCCUGCUGAGCCUGUUCUACAGCACCGCACUCACCAUGACCAGCAUCCGGGGCCCACCUGGCAGCAAAGAGGGACACCAGUAUUGACACAUAGGAUGGAACAGCAGCUCCACAGAUGGAACCUGGACACCAGGAAGCAGCUGACCAGCACCCACUUACUCAUGCCCAGUCCAAUAAACGUCUCCUUCAUCAAAUGU